ensembl:misc_RNA Metazoa_SRP Metazoan signal recognition particle RNA
GCCAGGCAUGGUGGCGUGUGCCUGUAAUCCCAGCUACUUGGGAGGCUGAGGCAGGAGAAUCACUUGAACCCAGGAGGUGGAGGUUGCAGUGAGCCGAAAUCACGCCACUGCACUCCAGCCUGGGCAACAAAGUGAGACUCUGUCUCAA